AGGGACCCUGUCAUGCCCCAACUUCCCCUAGGGCAGCCCAGCAGACCCCCAGCCCAGGACAGGGAGAGGACACAAGAGGGGCAGACGCGCACGGCUGGACCCAGGCAGGCGUCCUAGAUCGACACUCACAGGUUGUGCUUGUGAAUCAGGAUGAAAAGUCCGUUCAAGGCCAACAGGCUGAUGGCGCCCCCUGCAGACCAACGUGCGGCUGAGAAGCCUCAACGAGGCCUGCUCCCCGCCACCCGCGCCGAACUAAAAACCCAGAACUGGAGAAGUUCCAGCAAAGCGAGAAGAAACGCGCACCUAGAACACGGCCGCAGAGCAGCCGGGGAACAGCGCACCCAGGGCCGCACGUGGCAACGACACCGGCACCCAGGAGCCCGCUAAGAGCCUGGGAGCCAGGUACUCCUGGAACCGCGACACCAGCAGCGAGUGGUCCUCCUCCGGAGACAGCAGGCCUUCCACCACCGACUGGCGGGCCGG